CCUGGUGGCUCAGAGGUUAAAGCAUCUGCCUGGAAUGCAGGAGACCCAGGUUCGACCCCUGGGUCAGGA
rnacentral:tRNA from 1 species